rnacentral:rRNA from 1 species
UACGAAGGGGGCUAGCGUUGUUCGGAAUUACUGGGCGUAAAGAGUGUGUAGGCGGUGUUCUAAGUUUGUCGUGAAAUCUCCCGGCUUAACUGGGAGGGUGCGGCGAAAACUGGAAUGCUAGAGGAUGGGAGAGGUAAGCGGAAUUCCUGGUGUAGCGGUGAAAUGCGUAGAUAUCAGGAGGAACACCUGUGGUGUAGACAGCUUACUGGACCAUUUCUGACGCUGAGACACGAAAGCGUGGGUAGCAAACAGG